CCGACGGCGCGGGUGGUGAGGGGGCCUUUCUGGAAGGAGGGGUCCGACGGGGCGGGCGGUGAGGGGGCCUUUCUGGAAGGAGGGGUCCGACGGGGCGGUGGUGAGGGGGUCUUUCUGGAAGGAGGGGUCCGA